UGUACAGCUGAGAUGUGACAGCACUCACUCAUAUUGGAUGACCUUAAACACCAGGUGGUCCAGCAGAGUGAGCUGUUCGGCGAUCUCCAACGCGGAGUGGCUCUCGAAGGGAUCGACCUUCCCUUCUCCCAUCUAGGAGAAACAAAACAACCCAAACAUCAUUAAAACUGGACCAGGCAACUCAGCACAAAGUGACAGGCGUGCUGAGGGAGACCAGACUCUAAUCUUUGGCCUGCAGAUGUUCAACAGGCGCCUAUCAACCUGCGACUGAUCAUUAUUCAUGGUUGACUGCUCUUCCAUCUUCACAUUCAUUAGGUAUUCAUCCUACCGUCAAAGAAAAAUCUAUUUCUGGCAGAGAGGCAUGCAUGUUGUUGUAGUUUUCCCUCAUGAUCUCUGUGAGAGCGCGGUGAGUGUCUGGUGUGAGGCGAUGUUAAGCACACUGUCUGCUUCCUGCUUUAUGUUUACGGCUGAGUCAUGCACCUUUUAAAAAUCAUUACUGAUCUUAACAGAGAUAUAUGAGAUUGAUACGGCAUUGAUCAUAUGCUGUAGAUCCUUGGGUAGUAUUUGCUCUUAAAUCUAUGAUCUUUUUGUUAUGGGGGCAACACGCACUUGUCAGUCUUGCUGUGCUGUGGAUAAAUAAUUAACUAGACAUAAUUCUUUUGUCUUGUAUAAUUGAUUCUGAUUGACACACAGCUCAGUUUUAUUGCAGCAAUAGUGUAAAAGGAUUUUCCUGAAUCACAUAAUGAGAUCUAUACAGUAGUUUAUGCCCUGGAGAUCUAUACGUGUUGCAUCCACUUUCAUUUUAAUGAGGGGCUUUAGUUUGGAUGUCAGCCUUCUCCACACCAACACAAUCAUACUUAGUCAGAUCUUUUGAUUUACAGUGCACCAAAUCAACCACCUCUUGCUCCCGUAGCUUCUUGCAUUAUUUGUCGAAGUGCUUCUGUUCCCCCAGUGUGAGCGAGCUGUGUUUUCUAUAAAUGGACGCUGACCCCUCCGAAGUACUGCAAGGAACAAAUUUAGCCCAGAUAGCGCUCACAUUAAUAGGAGAGAUGCGACACACACUACUUCUCUCCUCUCUCUCUCUCUCCGUUACCCCGCCUCUUCCAACUGCAUCAUUCUUUAGGAUGCAAAUAAGGGUUGCCAUAGAAACCUCGGGCUCAAACGCAUUAUCAUUUUCACACUAACUGCAUUUGAGGAUAAAUAUAAUGUAGGGAUUAUGGUGGAUUGCUAAAACGUUUGCACAGAAUCCAGGUGGGGACGGGAGAUAGAGAGGUGAUAUCUUCUUUACUCUUAUUUAUCCUUGUAAAAGGAUGUUUGUUUGUUUACAAUGAGAGGCAACUCUUCAAUCACAUUCAUUGUUUGUGCUCCUCUCGGCUGCUUUCACUCUCUGCAAACAGGAUUCACAGAACACAAAGCGUCUCUCGAGUUGAUCAUAAAUCCAGUCCAUCUAUUGAUCAGGCUUUUCUCAGUGUGUUCACAUUCACAUUUAUGAGGAAACCGCACUGCUGAUGAAAAUAAAAAACAACCCCAAAUCC